rnacentral:lncRNA from 1 species
CUGCUCUCCUUUCUUCCUUGUGUCAGGAUCCUGAACUCGACCAUCUCAUGGUCACUGCCUCCCAGGUUCCCAUCCACUUUUGCUUUCCCUAUUAAUUCUUCCCUGUUUGUGAGCAGCAGGUCAAGAAGAGCUCUGCCCCUAGUUGGUUCCUCUAGCACUUGCACCAGGAAAUUGUCCCCUACACUUUCCAAAAACUUCCUGGAUUGUCUGUGCACCACUGUAUUGCUCUCCCAGCAGAUAUCAGGGUGAUUGAAGUCUCUGAUGAGAACCAGGGCCUGUGAUCUAGUAACUUCUGUUAGUUGCUGGAAGAAAGCCUCGUCCACCUCAUCCCCCUGAUCUGGUGGUCUAUAGCAGACUCCCACCACAACAUCCCCUUGUUGCUCACACUUCUAAACUUAAUCCAGAGACUCAGGUUUUUCUGCAGUUUCAUACCAGAGCUCUGAGCAGUCCAUAGUGCUCUCUUGCAUACAACGCAACUCCCCCACCUUUUCUGCCCUGCCUGUCCUUCCUGAACAGUUUAUAUCCAUCCAUGACAGUACUCCAGUCAUGUGAGUUAUCCCACCAAGUCUCUGUUAAUCCAAUCACAUCAUAAUUCCUUGACUGUGCCAGGACUCCCAGUUCUCCCUGCUUGUUUCCCAGGCUUCUUGCAUUUGUGUAUAGGCACUUAAGAUAACUCGCUGAUCGUCCAGCUUUCUCAGUAUGAUGCAGAGUCCUCCCCUCUUGCGCUCUCCUGCUUGUGCUUCCUCCCUGUAUCCCACCUCCCCACUUACCUCAGGGCUUUGGUCUCCUUCCCCCGGUGAACCUAGUUUAAAGCCCUAUCAAUAAAUAAAUCUAGUUUAAAUACUAUCAAUAAAUAUUGGCAUGGGAAAGGGGGGAGUCAGGAAAAGACAAGAGUGAUACACACUACAAGGAGGGAGAGGAAACAAGAGGACAGUCUCAGGCCCAAUGAAUUUACAUCAAGCUGGAAAUCUUCCCCAAAGAAACAAGAAAUGCCCAGUCAAAUUGCACAUUUCACCUUGUUUUUAUGUAUUUAAUUGGCCAUUUCAAAAUUUUGAGGGUUUUUGUAGGAUCUCAGGCAUUUUCAUUAUUUGAUGUGAAUGGAGAAAAAAAGAGUGUUGAAAAUGGAGCACAUGAAAGGAGGGUGGAAAAAAAGCAGAAGAAAG